GCGACAAGCGGCGGCGGUUCGCCUCGGGUUGGCCGUUUCCUGCCGAAUUCGGCCACACUCGCAUUGGUUCCUGCAAUAAAACAACCCUACGACCCUCGGGGGGCCGAAAAUUUAUGGAAAACCGAAGCUUACCGGCGGCGGUGCUCUCGGGUGCGGCGGCUCUCCGGUGAAGUUCGUGUUUUGGUGAUUCGGCUCCAAUCAACUUGUAGAGAAAAGAAUGGUGAUCACGGUGGUAUAAAAAUUGCAUUAAACGGAGGCCGGGAAGGGCCUCAUCGGAGGCAAAAGCCGAGGAGGGGCGCGGUGGCGCCGCUGGCUUUCGACCGUGUUUUUCAGCCGUUUGGCCAGGAUUUUGGCUCCGAUUUGGCCACUGGGGAAAUC
rnacentral:lncRNA from 1 species